rnacentral:rRNA from 1 species
CCUACGGGAGGCUGCAGUGAGGAAUAUUGGUCAAUAGACGCAAGUCUGAACCAGCCAUGCCGCGUGCAGGAUGACGGCUCUAUGAGUUGUACACUGCUUUUGUACGAGGGUAAACCCCGAUACGUGUCUUGGGUUGAAAGUAUCGUACGAAUAAGGAUCGGCUAACUCCGUGCCAGCAGCCGCGGUCAUACGGAGGCUCCGAGCGUUAUCCGGAUUUAUUUGGUUUAAAGGGUGCGUAGGCGGUGUGUUAAGUUAGCGGUGAAAUUUCGGGGCUCAACCCCGAAACUGCGUCUAGGACUGUUGGACUAGAGAAUAGUGGCGGUAGGCGGAAUGUAUGGUGUAGCGGUGAAAUGCUUAGAGAUCAUACAGAACACCGAUUGCGAAGGCAGCUUACCAAACUAUAUCUGACGUUGAGGCACGAAGGCGUGGGUAGCAAACAGGAUUAGAGACCCGAGUAGUC